GGUGAACGCUGGCGGCGUGCCUAAUACAUGCAAGUCGAGCGAACAGACGAGGAGCUUGCUCCUCUGACGUUAGCGGCGGACGGGUGAGUAACACGUGGAUAACCUACCUAUAAGACUGGGAUAACUUCGGGAAACCGGAGCUAAUACCGGAUAAUAUAUUGAACCGCAUGGUUCAAUAGUGAAAGACGGUUUUGCUGUCACUUAUAGAUGGAUCCGCGCCGCAUUAGCUAGUUGGUAAGGUAACGGCUUACCAAGGCAACGAUGCGUAGCCGACCUGAGAGGGUGAUCGGCCACACUGGAACUGAGACACGGUCCAGACUCCUACGGGAGGCAGCAGUAGGGAAUCUUCCGCAAUGGGCGAAAGCCUGACGGAGCAACGCCGCGUGAGUGAUGAAGGUCUUCGGAUCGUAAAACUCUGUUAUUAGGGAAGAACAAAUGUGUAAGUAACUAUGCACGUCUUGACGGUACCUAAACAGAAAGCCACGGCUAACUACGU
rnacentral:rRNA from 1 species